UACGUAGGGUGCGAGCGUUAAUCGGAAUUACUGGGCGUAAAGCGUGCGCAGGCGGUUCGUGAUGUCUGGUGUGAAAGCCCCGGGCUUAACCUGGGAAUUGCAUUGGAAACUAGCGGGCUGGAGUGUGGCAGAGGGGGGUGGAAUUCCACGUGUAGCAGUGAAAUGCGUAGAGAUGUGGAGGAACACCGGUGGCGAAGGCGGGUCUCUGGGCCGAUACUGACGCUGAGGAGCGAAAGCGUGGGGAGCGAACAGG
rnacentral:rRNA from 1 species